rnacentral:lncRNA from 1 species
GGUGCUCUAGGCACACAAUCGAAAAUUAGCAACAUGUUCAGGCAAUGGAGGAUCCCUAGAAGCAGGUUGAUCAACUCCCAUUCCUCCCGCUUAUGCGGACUCAACGAACAACUUUGGCAUAGGAACAUCCAACUGUACCAUAAGUACAGGUGUUACCCUAUGCAAAACCUUCGGCUUCUAUUCGGAAUCUUCCGAAACUUCUGAAACAACCACUGUCUGUGGUAAAGCUCCAACUCUUCUUAUAUUUCG